UACGAAGGGGGCUAGCGUUGUUCGGAAUUACUGGGCGUAAAGCGUGCGCAGGCGGCUUCUCAAGUCAGGGGUGAAAGCCCAGAGCUCAACUCUGGAAUUGCCUUUGAGACUGAGUGGCUUGAGUACGGGAGAGGUGAGUGGAAUUCCCAGUGUAGAGGUGAAAUUCGUAGAUAUUGGGAGGAACACCAGUGGCGAAGGCGGCUCACUGGACCGGAACUGACGCUGAGGCGCGAAAGCGUGGGGAGCAAACGGG
rnacentral:rRNA from 1 species